CCGCGGUGGGCGUGGCUUCCCCUGAGGGGAAAAGGGGGCGUGGCCAACAUCGCCCCGCCCAAUCAUCGCCCGCCGCGGGCGCGCCGCGUCCAAUCAACGCCUGGCUGCCGGCCACGCCCCUCCCUCAGCCAAGCCCCGCCCACCUCUCCCCUCACGCCGCUCUCCCUCCCCCCCCUCCCUCAGAGCCCCCCGCCCCUCCCCCCACCCGAUCCCCCCACCCCUCCCCCACCCCCCUCCCCCCCUCCUCCUCCUCCUCCUCCUCCUCCUCCCCGGCCGCGAUUCGGUCGCGAUUCGGUCGCGACUGUCGCGAGAUGGACCCCGCGAACUGGAGCAGCUUCAUCUUCCAGGUGGGGGGGAGGGGCGGCGCUGCUGGGGGGGUGGGGUGGGGGAGGGGGGUGGGGGAGGGGGGAUGGGACUGGGAGCGCCGGAGGGGGGUGGGGCUGUUUUGGGGGGGGGGAUGGGGGGAGGGAGGCUCGGACUGGGGGGACUGGGAGGGACUGGGAGGGGUGGGGGUGGCACUGGGGGGUGGGGACAGCGGGGUGGGGCUGGACUGGGAGCACUGGGAGGGAUGAGGGUGCUGGUACUGGUGGCACUGGGAGGGAUGAGGGUGCCGGUACUGGGAGCACUGGGAGGGAUGAGGGAGCUGUUACUGGGAGCACUGGGAGGGAUGAGGGUGCCGGUACUGGGAGCACUGGGAGCACUGGUGUCGCUGGGGGUGAUGGGGACGGCGGUGUCGCUCUGUACUGGGAGCACUGGGAGCACUGGGAACUGUUACUGGGAGCACUGGGAAUGAUGGGGACAGUGGUGUCACUCUGUACUGGGAGCACUGGUGUCACUGGGGGUGAUGGGGUCGCUCUGUACUGGGAGCACUGGGAAUCAUUACUGGUGUUACUGGUGGCACUGGGGGUGAUGGGGACACCGGUGUCACUCUGUACUGGGAGCACUGGGGGCUGUUACUGGUGGCACUGGUGGCACUGGUUUUACUGGUCCAUACUGGUCCAUACUGGUCCAUACCGACCCACAUUGGUCCAUACUGGUUUUACUGGUCUAUUACUGGUUUUACUGAUCCAUACCGACCCGUACGGAUCCUUACUGGUCCAAACCAGUCCAUACUGGUCCAUACUGGUCCAUACUGGUUUAUACCACUCCAUACUAGUCCAGACUGGUUUAUACUGGUCAGUACCAGUUUGUAUUGAUCCAUACCAGUCCAAACUGGUUUAUACUGGUUCAUACCGGUUCUAAACUGGCCCAUACUGAUCCACAUUGGUCCAAACUGGUUUAUACUGGUCCAUACCAGUCCAAACUGGUUUAUAGUUAUCCAUAGUGGUUUAUACUGGUUCAAACUGGUCCAUAUUCAGCCAUACUGGUCCAUACUGGUCUACGCUGAUUCUUACUGGUCUAAACUGGUCUAUACUGGUUUUUAAUGGUCCAUACUUGUCCAUACUGGUCCAAACUGGCUUACGCUGAUCUAAACUGGUUUAUACUCAUCCAAACUGGUUUGUAUUAGUCCAUACUGGUUUAUACUGGUCCAUACCAACCCAAACCGGUUUAUUCUGAUCCAAACUGGUUUAUACCGGUCCAAACUGGUUUAUACUGUUCCGUUCUGGUCCAUACCAUUCCAAACCAGUUUAUACUGGUCCAUACCAGUCCAAACCGGUCCAAACCGGUCCAAACUGGUUUAUACUGGUUCAUACCGGUUUAUACUGGUCCAUACCAGUCCAUACUGGUCC
rnacentral:lncRNA from 14 species